rnacentral:other from 2 species
GGUGUUCUGCGCCUCUCGACAGGAAAUAACAUAUUCCUGAGACCUUAGUGAUUUCCAAGGGAGCUGUCCCUGAUUAAGCUCGUGGGCUUUUUCAUAUGGCGCCCACCUAUUUAUAUAGGUUCCCAGGGAUCAACUUUUUCCAUCGGUUGUUGUGGAUCACCA